CAUUUCUCUCUACUUCCACCGGUUGGCUGCAGGGCUAGGGCAGGGCAGAGACCGGAAUAGAAGAGCUAAAUUUAUCCUGGGAGCCCGGGCGUGGCUGCGGCUCAGGCCGCGCGGCCUGGAUGGAGGCGGUGCUCGGUGGCCGCCCUCCCGGAGCUGGUUUCCUCCCUGGGAAAGCAGGUCUCUCCGCGGUGCUGAGGAGCUCGGGCUGGAAUUUCCCCGCAGCGCCGCCCCGCCGGGAGGGACCAGGAGGGAUCUACCCGAGCCCGAUGAGCAGCCCGGGGAGACGCCCGAAACCCAGAACCUGCGCGUUAAAACUGAAAACUUUCCUCCCUUCCACCAUGUCAGUCCCAGGGAUCGAACUUACGCGGUCAGGCACGGUGGUACUCACCAUGGAUGUUUUCCCAGGGGGUAUUCCUGGAAGAGAUUAAGCCUGGGGACUCAUUUCUUCUGGGGACAAUUCAAGGGAAGGUGAGAACAGGCCUCAUUGGGCCUGGUAUAACAGGGUUCUAAUCUCAGCUACCUUCAGGCUGACACUGGAAGCUAGAGAAUUCAAGACCUGCCUGGAAUACAGAGACCCUAGCACAAACCCGAAACCAAUAAAUAACAAAAUCUUCGCUUGA